rnacentral:rRNA from 1 species
UACGUAGGGUGCGAGCGUUGUCCGGAAUUAUUGGGCGUAAAGAGCUCGUAGGCGGUGUGUCACGUCGGCCGUGAAAACCUGCAGCUUAACUGUGGGCGUGCGGUCGAUACGGGCAGGCUAGAGUUCGGUAGGGGAGACUGGAAUUCCUGGUGUAGCGGUGAAAUGCGCAGAUAUCAGGAGGAACACCGGUGGCGAAGGCGGAUCUCUGGGCCUUACCUGACGCUGAGGCGCGAAAGCUAGGGGGAGCGAACAGG